UUGGAUGAAAGUACAAAAUACACUUAUCACUGGUACAAAGAGCUCUCCUCUUUGUAGUGUUAAGACUUCUGAAGGUCGCCCCCCAGGGCACAUUCCAACUGGCAAAGAUGAGGGCACUUCAAGAUUGACAGAUCAGAGGUCGUGAGUGUGAUUCCUGAAAAGCUCUUGGAAGGCAGAUAUUCUUCUGGAAAGCAGGAUUUAUCCAAGAAGGCAGCAGUUCUACUAGAAGGUAAGGUGCAAAGAUGGAAAACGACUUGUUUGGCACUUUGACAGAUCAGUUUGGGGCACAACCUGCGGUUUAACCUGUCUACAGCUUGAAAGACCAAGAUGUAAACUCCAAGAUUUAAUCACCGUAAAGUGAAU
rnacentral:lncRNA from 1 species